rnacentral:rRNA from 1 species
UACAGAGGUCCCAAGCGUUGUUCGGAUUCACUGGGCGUAAAGGGUGCGUAGGUGGUGAGGUAAGUCGGCUGUGAAAGCUCGGAGCUCAACUCCGAAAUGGCAUUGGAAACUACCUUGCUCGAGGGUUGGAGGGGGGACUGGAAUACUUGGUGUAGCAGUGAAAUGCGUAGAUAUCAAGUGGAACACCAGUGGCGAAGGCGAGUCCCUGGACAACUCCUGACACUGAGGCACGAAAGCUAGGGGAGCAAACAGG